rnacentral:sRNA from 1 species
UUGACAGCCAAGGAGAAUGAAGUCCUGCAUUUAUUCACAGGACAGGUACAGUGGCAGUAUAAGCUUUUCCUGCAGCUUUUGUGCCUCAGUUCUGAUGGGGGAGGGGGGGGGCGCUUUUAGGAAUAAGAGAUUGCAGCCUGAAUUUCUCAGCUGAGAUUGU